UGCCUCUACACCCAUAAAUCCAUGAUGAGAC
rnacentral:piRNA from 1 species